UAUCUAUUUAUUAUUUUUUGACGUCUAUAGUUUUAGUAAUCGCACCAAAAACUUUACUUUACCAAUUUAAAAUGCAGAAAUCUUAAAAACAUAACCUAAGUUUCUGGCAUUCAAUUAUUCGGAUCAGCUAGUACUUUGAGAUUGUGGAAGGUUAUACAUCCAAAAGACAGUAGGAAGCAUCGACUACUCCACAAAAAAUUGUCGUUCAAAAAAUAUAUUUAUACUGUUUUGAAAGAAUUUGUGGAAGAAUAUGAGAACGUAUGUUUGAAAUUCUCACAAUUCAACACAUUCAAUCGAUUAUGGGAGGUAUAACAUUCGAAAAAUCUAUGGAAACAAUUAUUAUGAGUCCUAUAACUAUAGAUCCCACUAACCGUCCAAGCUUAAGGGAUGCUCUUAGCUGGUUUUCACAGAAUAUUCAAAUGUUCUUGAUUCGAUGAAAUCAAAUCUAAUUUGUAACCCAACCUAGCCUACAGCAAUAAAUGAAACCAAAACUGAAGAAAAAAUAUCAUUAGGUAUAUAAUGGUAUUGACGGUUUUUGCAAUAUUUUCAAUUUGUAAUGAAACAAAUCUUACCAGUUCCAGAAUGAAGUCAAUCAGGUUUGUGGCAAGCAGGCAAAAUAUUCAUUUCUACUGAAAGAAUUUAUAGUUUCUCUUGAAUUUGUUUCCAUAUGCCUUUAUUAUCUAAUCAGACCCAAAUAGAUGUACCAGCCCUGCCGACUGACAACAAAUAUUGAAAGAGUUUAUUCACCCAUAAAACAAUUGUUUUCGCUAUUGAAUUUGGCUAUUUGGUUCAUGAACCCUUCCGCGCGGUUAGCAGUGUAAUUAGUAACUAGAUUAUCGGCUUUUCAACUGAGGUUUCCGAUCAUUUUCAUUAUUCUCAAAGGAGAAUAUAUUGGCGCUUCAUAGUAGUCACUUCUAGAACUGACCUGGAUUUGAUUUCUUGGGGAGAACCUAUUCAACAGAAAAUGUGAAUCUAAGCUAAAAUAAAUUGAAAAAUCCUAGUUGGCUCGUUUAUAAUCUGAAAAAGUCAACUCACGACUUUGAUCAUCAUUGAUGUUUGGAAAUUUCAAAUGUUGUUAUUUGGGUGCAAAAAAAAUUGAUGGUGUUUGAAAAUAAAGAAAAUAGUGAACUGGGUGUGUCGUUUAGUCAGUUGACGCAUCUUAUGAAUCUAGUGAUUUCAUAUGAUGCCGUAAACCAUAUAUGACAAAAAAGUUUCACAGUUCUAAUGUUUUCUCUUGUGGGGAAGAUUGAUUACUUUCGAUAAAAGAAAGAAUUCUAAUUUCAUUGCCUAAUCAUAAAGUGAAAGCGUAGCCUGGAUAUAAGUGUAGAUAGAUUUUAGUUUCGGUUAGGGCCAACUAUAUGGACUAUUUUUCGGUGCACCGAAUUAAUAUUCAAGUUUUGAAGUUCUGUAUCUGUAUUUGUAGAGUAGGGAGGGUGAGUGCGUAGCCCCACACCACAUCCUCCCAAGGAGUUGUCCUCCUAGGUCAUCGUCUAUCCUGU